GAAACGACUGCUAAUACCGCAUAAGCCCACGACCCGGCAUCGGGUUGAGGGAAAAGGAGCAAUCCGCUUUGAGAUGGCCUCGCGUCCGAUUAGCUAGUUGGUGAGGUAACGGCCCACCAAGGCGACGAUCGGUAGCCGGACUGAGAGGUUGAACGGCCACAUUGGGACUGAGACACGGCCCAGACUCCUACGGGAGGCAGCAGUGGGGAAUAUUGCACAAUGGGGGAAACCCUGAUGCAGCGACGCCGCGUGGAGGAAGAAGGUCUUCGGAUUGUAAACUCCUGUUGUUGAGGAAGAUAAUGACGGUACUCAACAAGGAAGUGACGGCUAACUACGUGCCAGCAGCCGCGGUAAAACGUAGGUCACAAGCGUUGUCCGGAAUUACUGGGUGUAAAGGGAGCGCAGGCGGGAAGACAAGUUGGAAGUGAAAUCCAUGGGCUCAACCCAUGAACUGCUUUCAAAACUGUUUUUCUUGAGUAGUGCAGAGGUAGGCGGAAUUCCCGGUGUAGCGGUGGAAUGCGUAGAUAUCGGGAGGAACACCAGUGGCGAAGGCGGCCUACUGGGCACCAACUGACGCUGAGGCUCGAAAGUGUGGGUAGCAAACAGGAUUAGAUACCCUGGUAGUCCACACUGUAAACGAUGAUUACUAGGUGUUGGAGGAUUGACCCCUUCAGUGCC
rnacentral:rRNA from 1 species